rnacentral:rRNA from 1 species
GACGUAGGAUGCAAGCGUUGUCCGGAAUUAUUGGGCGUAAAGAGUUCGUAGGCGGUUGCCUAAGUCUGAUGUUAAAUACUGGAGCUCAACUCCGGCAUGGCAUUGGAAACUGGGCGGCUAGAGUGUGGUAGAGGUCUCGGGAAUUCCAGGUGUAGCGGUGAAAUGCGUAGAUAUCUGGAGGAACACCGGUGGCGAAAGCGCGAGACUGGGCCAUAACUGACGCUGAGGAACGAAAGCCAGGGGAGCGAACGGG